GACGAACGCUGGCGGCGUGCCUAAUACAUGCAAGUCGAACGCUGAAGGAGGAGCUUGCUUCUCUGGAUGAGUUGCGAACGGGUGAGUAACGCGUAGGUAACCUGCCUGGUAGCGGGGGAUAACUAUUGGAAACGAUAGCUAAUACCGCAUAAUAUUGACUAUUGCAUGAUAGUCAGUUGAAAGGUGCAACUGCACCACUACCAGAUGGACCUGCGUUGUAUUAGCUAGUUGGUGGGGUAACGGCUCACCAAGGCGACGAUACAUAGCCGACCUGAGAGGGGGAUCGGCCACCCUGGGACUGGGACACGGCCCAGACUCCUACGGGAGGCAGCAGUAGGGAAUCUUCGGCAAUGGACGGAAGUCUGACCGAGCAACGCCGCGUGAGUGAAGAAGGUUUUCGGAUCGUAAAGCUCUGUUGUAAGAGAAGAACGAGUGUGAGAGUGGAAAGCUCACACUGUGACGGUAGCUUACCAGAAAGGGACGGCUAACUACGUG
rnacentral:rRNA from 1 species